AGCGAACGCUGGCGGCAGGCCUAACACAUGCAAGUCGAACGAACUCUUCGGAGUUAGUGGCGGACGGGUGAGUAACACGUGGGAACGUGCCUUUAGGUUCGGAAUAACUCAGGGAAACUUGUGCUAAUACCGAAUGUGCCCUUCGGGGGAAAGAUUUAUCGCCUUUAGAGCGGCCCGCGUCUGAUUAGCUAGUUGGUGAGGUAAAGGCUCACCAAGGCGACGAUCAGUAGCUGGUCUGAGAGGAUGAUCAGCCACAUUGGGACUGAGACACGGCCCAAACUCCUACGGGAGGCAGAAGUGGGGAAUCUUGCGCAAUGGGCGAAAGCCUGACGCAGCCAUGCCGCGUGAAUGAUGAAGGUCUUAGGAUUAUAAAAUUCUUUCACCGGGGACGAUAAUGACGGUACCCGGAGAAGAAGCCCCGGCUAACUUCGUGCCAGCAGCCGCCGCCG
rnacentral:rRNA from 1 species